rnacentral:lncRNA from 1 species
CCAAAAAUACCGAUCUCAAAGAAAAUUCAAAAUGGAAAGUCCCUAGUCAAAUGGCAAAAUCAAAAGCUCAAACACAUCAAACGCACUGUUAUUUUCCUGGCAAAUCGAUGUCUUUUCAAAAGAGGGACGAAAGAUACCAAAGGGACAGUCAAACUCAUAAAUCUAAAACAAACUGACAACGCCAUGGCUAAAAAUAAAAAAGACAAACAGAAAAACAAUAGUACACACGACACAACAUAGAAAACUAAAGAAUAAACAACACGAACCCCACCAAAAACUAGGGGUGAUCUCAGGUGCUCCGGAAGGGUAAGCAGAUCCUGCUCCACAUGUGGCACCCGUCGUGUUGCUUAAGUUCAACUUGUUCAAAAGCACAUAUUUUUUAUGGAUAGUCUACUUUGUAUAACAUAUCAACC